AGACCCACAGUAGGCCUUGUCUGAGGAAGCCGUCCAAGAGAAUGUGAGGCUACUAGGUGACGGGUGCUGGCGCAGGGGGCUCUAGUGCAGAGUAGGGGUGCUUGGUGUCUAGGCAGGGAUGGUGGUGGCCAGUGGGGCAGUUUAAUUUUCAAUCUCUCACUGACCCUGGAUCUCCAUUUGGCCAAGGCAUCCCAGCCAUUCUCCUGUCUCUGCCCGUCCCAUGCUGGCAGGAUUGUUGGCACAUUCCCAGCCACGUGAUGUCUAAAUGACUGUUCCCAUGAGCUGCUUUGGAACAUGACACGUAGAGAGGAAGAAGAACAUGCCAGGACCCACACAGUGAAUGAUGUUCCCUUACUGCCUCUUCUGUGUCUGUGUCCUGAUCCCUGUUCAUGUAAGGACCCAUUGUGUGGCUUGGGGACAACCAGGGGAAGAGGACGAAUAAACACACGACAAGAAGAGUCUAAAGAAAAAUGAAGAAACAAAAGUUGGCGUCAUCAGAGGACCUUGUCAUGGCAGAGUGUGGUGUCCACUCUGCCAAAGAGGAGACAAGACCUGCGCACUCCCAGCAUCUGUAGAUGCCCUGCCUCAGAUCAGAUCCUUCCCAGGCUGGAGUUCACUCCCUCUGCCUUGAAAGAGAAUCGUGGACCCUUCAUGUGUCCCCUACACCCCUCACUGUUGCUUGGUAACCU
rnacentral:lncRNA from 1 species